rnacentral:rRNA from 1 species
GAAGGCCUUCGGGUCGUAAAGCUCUGUUGUUAGGGAAGAACAAGUAUCGGAGUAACUGCCGGUACCUUGACGGUACCUAACCAGAAAGCCACGGCUAACUACGUGCCAGCAGCCGCGGUAAUACGUAGGUGGCAAGCGUUGUCCGGAAUUAUUGGGCGUAAAGCGCGCGCAGGCGGUUCCUUAAGUCUGAUGUGAAAGCCCACGGCUCAACCGUGGAGGGUCAUUGGAAACUGGGGAACUUGAGUGCAGAAGAGAAGAGCGGAAUUCCACGUGUAGCGGUGAAAUGCGUAGAGAUGUGGAGGAACACCAGUGGCGAAGGCGGCUCUUUGGUCUGUAACUGACGCUGAGGCGCGAAAGCGUGGGGAGCGAACAGGAUUAGAUACCCUGGUAGUCCACGCCGUAAACGAUGGGCACUAGGUGCUCUGGGGAGCGACCCCCGGGGUACCGGCGCUAACGCAUGAAGUGCCCCGCCUGGGGAGUACGGCCGCAAGGCUGAAACUCAAAGGAAUUGACGGGGGCUCACACAAGCGGUGGAGCAUGUGGCUUAAUUCGAGGCUACGCGAAGAACCUUAUCCUGGGCUUGACAUGUGCGAAAGCGCUGGGGAGUAGCCGCCAGAAACGGCCGGCCAACGGUAUCCAGUCCGGAACCCAGUACAGGUGCUGCAUGGCUGUCGUCAGCUCGUGUCGUGAGAUGUUGGGUUAAGUCC